rnacentral:rRNA from 1 species
UAGAGAUAGAGCUUUCCCCUUCGGGGGACAAAGUGACAGGUGGUGCAUGGUUGUCGUCAGCUCGUGUCGUGAGAUGUUGGGUUAAGUCCCGCAACGAGCGCAACCCUUAAGCUUAGUUGCCAUCAUUAAGUUGGGCACUCUAAGUUGACUGCCGGUGACAAACCGGAGGAAGGUGGGGAUGACGUCAAAUCAUCAUGCCCCUUAUGAUUUGGGCUACACACGUGCUACAAUGGACAAUACAAAGGGCAGCGAAACCGUGAGGUCAAGCAAAUCCCAUAAAGUUGUUCUCAGUUCGGAUUGUAGUCUGCAACUCGACUACAUGAAGCUGGAAUCG